GCGCUCACUUCGGCAGCACACAUACUAAAAUUGGAACGACACAGAGAUUAGCAUGGGCCCCGUGCAAGGGUGACAUGCAAAUCUGUGAAGUGUUCCAUAUUUAA